GGGGAAUAUUGGACAAUGGGCGAAAGCCUGAUCCAGCCAUGCCGCGUGAGUGAUGAAGGCCCUAGGGUUGUAAAGCUCUUUUGUGCGGGAAGAUAAUGACGGUACCGCAAGAAUAAGCCCCGGCUAACUUCGUGCCAGCAGCCGCGGUAAUACGAAGGGGGCUAGCGUUGCUCGGAAUCACUGGGCGUAAAGGGUGCGUAGGCGGGUUUCUAAGUCAGAGGUGAAAGCCUGGAGCUCAACUCCAGAACUGCCUUUGGUACUGGAAGUCUUGAGUUCGGGAGAGGUGAGUGGAACUGCGAGUGUAGAGGUGAAAUUCGUAGAUAUUCGCAAGAACACCAGUGGCGAAGGCGGCUCACUGGCCCGAUACUGACGCUGAGGCACGAAAGCGUGGGGAGCAAACA
rnacentral:rRNA from 1 species